GGGUCGAUUCCUUGAUCAGCUAUGCACAGCAGCCGCGGGUUGGCUAUGUCAAUGCCUUGAUCAACAAUGCAUGACUUCGAAGUACUCAUUUUGCAUGCUCUCGUUCUAUACUCAUUUACAGUCUUGGGUUUCUUGAAUUAACUUGAUCGUCGUUCUUGCAUGCAUCAGCUAGCAGCUAUGCUUCUGGUUAAAAAACACCCUGUACACUCCUCUACUUCGGUUUGUGAGCUUAUACUUCGUACAAAGUGUCGAAUCUAUGACACUUACAUGGACCUGCGCUAACUGAAUCAUAUUUGUUAUGUUCGAUCUCCCAGCACAAGAAGCUUGAUGAGCAAAAAGCACUAGAACUGGAACCUGGAGGCAAGCUAGCAAAGUUGGUGCAGUUUUGAAAUGGCAAUGCUUCUUGAGCAGUGAUUAGUUUAGUCAUUCAUACGUAGUCUUACCCAUGAUGUACCUAAAAUUAUCCUCUCAAGCAAUGUAAUAUGUAUGUGUGUCUCAUUUGUUGUGUCUUGUCUGGCGUCGUGCAGUUCGAAAUGUAUGUUUGCUUGAAGUGGAUGUAUUAAUUCCCAUAUACUCAAAUAUUUGUGGUGAGGUUCACAUACUCCUUAGCGACUAACAUGUUUGGAUUUCUUGCAUGAUUUGUGAUGUAGCAGAAGCUGCUAGCGAAAUCAAAUAUACUACAGAUUUCAUGCAAUAGAUUUUAUAAAACUAAGGGAGGAGGCAUCAAUGAAGUGAA
rnacentral:lncRNA from 1 species